GAGAAAAAUAAUUAAACUAAUAGUAGUAGUAGAAAAGAUGGAGAAAGUUUAGGAGAGAGAGAGAGAGAAGAUGUGGCAUAUAUAUGUGUGCUGUUUGUGCAUUGUUCUCUUGCUGUUUUCUCACACUUCUCAGCUCCUCUCUCCCUUUGCUGGAUUCUCAGUGCCCCACCACCACCACCACUAUCUCUCUCUCUUCAACUAUCAGAGCUCCCUAGCCUUAGCUAGGGCGAUGCAACUUUCCCCCACACACCAAAAUUUGCUUCCAAGUGAAGAUUAGAUAGAUAGACAGACAGACACACAGAUAUGCUAGGAGUGUGUGUGUUUGUGUGAUCCAUCUUUUUUCAUAUCACACUCUUCACUCUUGCUGUAAAUUGUAAACAAGUAAAACACUGUUAAUUGUUAAAAGUAGAGAGCAUGAAUGAAUAAAAAGGGUGACAAGGCCAUUCAGAGGAAGCAAAAGGGUUGUUAGAUGGGUGAAAGAAAGGAAGAAAAAUAUCAAUCAAAAGGGGAGGUGAGGUGAGGUUAAAAAAAAACUAGGAGGAGAGAAGAGAAUAAUGGUGGUAACCUUUGCGUUUUCAGAGGACCCCAACAGUAUCCUGAUGCAAUUGGCAAACUGCCUUUGGCUUUUCUGAUGAUAGGGGAAUCAAGGAAUCUAAUCCAGAUCUCAGAGCACGGAAGUAAUCGGGACUUAGCUAUCGGCAUGGAUCAAAAGGAACCUUCUGUUAAAAGGCGCCCUCUGUGUGUAUGUAUCUAUAUAUGCAUCUAAUAUAUGUGUGCAUGCGUGCGUCUGUGUGGCCAAGAUCGCAAGUUACAACAGGAGAUGGUCGUAUUCUCUCCAUUUCAUACUCAGACCCUCCUUUCAAUCAUGAUUUCCUUUUUUUCGUAACAAUUUCUAGCUAUUUGCUGUUAUACGAAAAUCUCGUAAAAUUCCUGCUCUCAAUUCUCAACUCUUAUGGUGUGCUGCUAUUCAGCAGCUGGAAUGUGUUUGUAUAGUGUUGUUUGUUAAGAAAUUGUAUGGUCGUUGUAGGGUAUUUGGUGAAGCGAGCACUAAUAAGUGAGCCUUUUCAUGGGAUUUGUAGAGCCAAAUGAUGAGUGGGUCCAAUGAAAGGACUCAUCAGCUUUCACUGUUUUUAGCAUCGCUAGUUUUUCUACCGAGGCUGGCGGGUCAAACAUCAAAAUCAGGGGAAUAUGUCUGAAAACCAAGCCAGCCAGAGAGUAGCAGCAGAAGGUGGCAUAUUCAUGCCUGUACUUGUGCAUUGGCGUCAAGCCGUCCAAUUGCACUAGAGUUUCAGAGAUCACACUGUGCUGCUGCAAGCUGAAUCAUGCAGAUGUGCAGGCGAAGACGGAGUACCAGGAAAGGAAAUUCAGCGACAUGUACAGGGACAGACUUUUUUUCAGGUCUCUCUGCAAAGAUCUGAACCAAGGGCAGCGCAUUGUGAUCAAGAGAAGGCGCCGGGGUUUGAUUGAACAGUUCACUCAGAUCAGCAGCGCACGUUUCGCUCUGAAAGCACCGGUCCUUUUCGCGUGACUUGCAUGGGAGGGCAGGCCGCAUGUUUGGUGGUGGUGGCAUCUUAGAGGAUUAAAAGCGCGGGACGAGGCAUCGGGCUAAGAUACGGGGAAUUUUUUUCCCUCCUUUCCUCCGCAUCUCCUCUGCCUGCUUUGCUCAUGCUGCCUCCGAUUGAUUUAGCACGAAGAAGAAGGGGAAAAAAAACAAAAGGGCCUGCCAAAAGGCUAGACAGCAUUUUGAAAAUCAAGAAAGGUUGGCUGGCUUUACUUUAAGCAAUCUGAUGCAAUACCUGCUUAGAAAAAUGGCCUCUUCGUGUUUUCUUGCUGCUUUAACAUAUUCCAGGUCAAGGAGGAGGAGGGAGAAAAAAAAAAGCAGAUUCUUGAAUGAUGCUUGGGCUAGGUGAGGUGAGGUGAGGGAGGGAAGAAGCAAGCACUGGCUGCCACAACAAGUCACAGGUCAUUUUGGCAAAGGUGAGAGCAUCAUCAAUAAUUCUUUCUAAAGAGCUCAUCAAAGUCUAUCAUCUGAUUUUUAAAGGUAUCAACAAGGAAAGGGGAUUGAGAGUGUUUAUGUGUUGUGUGGACCCAAGGGAAUCGGAAAAGUACUCCGGCAAGAUGCCAAGGUAACCCACAUGAGGAAUUCCUAUCCAUCUGUCAGUGAAGUAACAUGCUUGCCCCCGGGCAGCCACAUAAUUGCAGCAUAAUUACCUGGCCAUUUGGGGGAUUUUGGCUUCCUAUUCUUUUACUUUGUUUCGGUUCCUGUGAGCUCUGAUGGUUUCACCAUGACCUGUCCAUGAUCAAUCCGUGGGAAUCUUGCUUUUUUGACUUUUAGAGAGAAAUUAAAGGUGUGGUGGCCUCAAGAAUUUACUGGUGGUUAAUCUUGAAGCAUGAAUCUUAAUGAAGAAAUCUUUCCUUCAAAGGAAAGGCUGGGAGGUUGUAAAGCAUUUUUAUGACCGAAUUAUCAUAAAAAUGAAAAAUAUAUUUUCCUACAUCGAGAAACUAUUGAAUUGAUAUUAGUAGCAACCUCAAAUAUCAUAACUUGCUCAUGAAGCUAAGCUGUUGGUUAGGUUCUGAAUAUACUGAACUUUGCUUUAGAACAUAUCUCUUUCCACCUCUUCAGAUAAGGUAGGCAGGAUUCCAAUGAUCCACAAAAGAAAGGCGUUCGCGGAAUAUUUCAUAGAGAUGAUAAACCAAAGUUGAUCAAAAGAGGAAGAUGGAGAAAAUAAAGGGGGGUGAGAGUGCAUUUGAGUGCUAAGCAUUAGCUAAAGAAAAAGCUUAUCUUGAUCAAACUCCACUGAAGUUUUUACCAGGUCUUAUGAACUAAUCCCCAGGAUGAAAAAUGAGACAACCAAAUCAUGAUUGAUCGAUUGGCAUAUUGUCGGUGCGUUCUUCUUUCUCUGUGCAUCUGACAACCCACAACUUGCAGUGUUCAGAGAACAAGUGACCGGCAUAUCAACAUGCAUGCUGUGAAUGAAAUAAUUCACCUCUUAGGAUGCUUUUGUUCCCUGAAAUGCAUGUAUCACUUAUGAAGAUGCUCUUGGAAGAAGAAUUUUUUCAUGGGCUAAUGGUGCAUGAAAUUGGGUUGAGCCAGCUCUCUUUCAGACAACCAAUUCAACCCUUUGCUUGUCAGAUAUGCACCAAUAUCUUAGCUUUCCCAGCUGUGAUAUUCCAGUUUGUAAGAUGCCUGGUAAGCAGAUUGCGAUGGAUCGAAUCGACACCGGACUCGAACAUUAUUCGACUGAACAUUGACUGUUCAUUCGGUUCCAAGUUCAACUUCGAACAAAGUAUUACCGUUCCUUUUCAGACGAAAACUGAUGAUAUAUUCUUCAGGAAGUUUCAGAACUGGCAAAUCUUCAGGAAAAACAGAUAUGUGCUAUCUGCUAUGCAAUGUUCUGAACACUGCAUUUACAGAAGAUUCCAUCAGAGUGAUUACAUUAGGAUAAAAGAAGAUGUAGCUUCUUUCAGUUUCCCUUUCUUUCAGACGUCCUUAGACUGAAACUGAACAUCAAGCACGCAUGAGCACAGGGACACUGAAACCGAUAAAUCAUUCAGGAGGGCAGGAAUGCAGCACAGCAAAAUCUUUGCUUCAAUGCUAAGACUUUGUGAGGAUGACUUUAAUUUGGAGCACUUGCCUUUAGCUGAUGACAAGUAUAUAGCUAUGCUUAGCUCUUGCACAGAAAAGCAAGCAUCUCUGCACUGCACCACCCCCCAACUCCAAUGUGUCAUAUGUGCAAUAGCCAAGAGAUAACUGAGAACAAACUAAAGCAAGGGCAUGAGCAAAAGAAGGCAAAGCAAUGUGCUUUCCAAAGAUGUGAGAUUUUGCUUGCGCAAGUGGUAUUAUUAGAGUCAAUCAUUUGGUGAUAAGACACGAAAUGUGGCGACGAUAAGCAAUGCAUAUAUGUGUAAACGUGGCGCCGUCUCCAUUUCACAUUUUUUUCCACUCUCACUUUAAUUUGCUUAAUCACCCAAUUUAUCAGUACACGUUGCUCGUUUA